rnacentral:rRNA from 1 species
UACAGAGGGGCUAGCGUUGUUCGGAAUUACUGGGCGUAAAGGCGCGUAGGUGGCCUGUUAAGUCGAACGUGAAAUCCCGGCUCAACCCGGGAACUGCGUCCGAGACUGGCAGGCUCGAAUCCGGGAGAGGGAUGUGGAAUUCCAGGUGUAGCGGUGAAAUGCGUAGAUAUCUGGAGGAACACCGGUGGCGAAGGCGGCAUCCUGGACCGGUAUUGACGCUGAGGCGCGAAAGCGUGGGAGCGAA